GGAAAUCUCACCAGGCCCGGACACUGGAAGGAUUGACAGAUUGAUAGCUCUUGAUUCGGUGGGUGGUGGUGCUUGGCCGUUCUUAGUUGGUGGAGUGAUUUGUCUGGUUAAUUCCGUUAACGAACGAGACCUUAACCUGCUAAAUAGUGACGCGGUUCAUCGAACCGUGGGCCACUUCUUAGAGGGACUAUCGGAUUCAAACCGAUGGAAGUGUGAGGCAAUAA
rnacentral:rRNA from 1 species